rnacentral:lncRNA from 10 species
UCGAGCUGAGCUUUCGCUCACCAUCCACCACUGCUGUUUGCCACUGUCGCAGACCCACCGCCGACUCCCAUCCCUCUGGAUCCGGCAGGGUGUCCGCUGAGCUCCUGAUACGGCGAGACUCCCAUUGCCACUCCCGAUCAUGCUAAAGGCUUGCCAUUGUUCCUGCAACGUUAAGUGCCUGGGUUCGUCCUAAUCGAGCUGAACACUAGUCACUGGGUUCCAUGGUUCUCUUCCGUGACCCACGGCUUCUAAUAGAGCUAUAACACUCACUGCAUGGCCCAAGAUUCCAUUCCUUGGAAUCCGUGAGGCCAAGAACCCCAGGUCAGAGAAGACGAGGCUUGCCACCAUCUUGGAAGCGGCCCGCCACCAUCUUGGAAGUGGCUCGCCACCAUCUUGGGAGCUCUGUGAGCAAGGACCUCCGGUAACAUUUUGGCGACCACGAAGGGACAUCCAAAGCUUAUUGCCUAACGGUCCACAAUAAAACAUUCUCACUUUGGUAACUGUAUAAAAAUAGAAGUACAUUACAUAAAAAAGCUCACUAUCCUUGACAGAGAAGAAAGGACUUAGAACCGGAAUUCAACUUUGUGACCAUAAUCUCUAUUCUACUUCUACUGUUCAUCGGUUGAAAUGGUCAUCAAAAUGUAAUAAGUUGAUCGAAGACUCUCAGAUAUUACUUUAGAAUAUAUUCCUUUUAUGAAAGCUGCAUCUGUAUUUGACUUGGUAAGAUAAUAAAUUCAAGAAAAGCCCAACUGGGACCUCUAACAUACUCUUCUACAAUAUAUGAAUUUUAUACUAAAUAAGACUAUAAUAUUCUCCUCUACAAGUGGAAACCACAUCCCCAUAGGAAAUCGAGAUGCUAAACUAUUAAUAGUUUACCCAGGUUUUCUCUGCCUACCAUGGAACCUUAAACUUCAUCACAGCCUAAGCACUGUAAAACAUUAUAAUUUAUGUUCAUAUAAAUGAAACUCUCUAGACAUUCUUCAUCUUGUCUACUACUUAAUGUUUCUGAUGUUUUUAAGACAGAGAAGUUCUCUGCAUUCAACCUGAGAAAAGACAAUGUCAAAAUAAAUUUAUAUAUCAAAUAAAUACUGUCAGAAGCAUUGCUAUAAGUCUGGUAAUGUUUUAAAAUGUUGUGCCAGUAA